rnacentral:rRNA from 1 species
UACGUAGGGGGCGAGCGUUGUCCGGAUUUAUUGGGCGUAAAGAGCGUGUAGGCGGCUUUACAGGUCCGUUGUGAAAACUCGAGGCUCAACCUCGAGACGCCGGUGGAAACCGUAAAGCUAGAGUCCGGAAGAGGAGAGUGGAAUUCCUGGUGUAGCGGUGAAAUGCGCAGAUAUCAGGAGGAACACCCGUGGCGAAGGCGGCAUCCUGGACCGGCAUUGACGCUGAGGCGCGAAAGCCAGGGGAGCAAACGGG